rnacentral:rRNA from 1 species
AUGGAUGGAGGAGUAGCGGGCAACCUCGACGUCCGUGGAGUUGGAGGGCGGGCUGAGGCGGUCGAAGGAGUAGACGAGCUUGACGAGAUUGGAGCUUGGGAGGAUGUGGAGCUAGGUGGAGAGGAAGAAGCCAAACUGGGAGAGGUCGAUGUCAGGCGCAUCCUGUCUGAGGCGACUGGCAAUACCACCGUAAAGUUUGAAAUAAAUUUGGAAAAUAUGCAAGCACAGGUGUAA